rnacentral:lncRNA from 1 species
CUGCACCCACGGCAUAUGGAAGUUUCCAGCUAGGAAUCAAAUCCAAGCUGCAGCUGUGGCAACACCAGAUCCUUAACCUACUGCACCACAGCAGGAAGUCAUAUAUUCUUUUUCAGAAUCUUUACCCUUAUAGGUUUCUACAAAAUAUUGAGUAUAGUUCCCUGUGCUAUACAGUAGGUCCUUGUUUGGGGGAAUAUUAAAUCAAUAGAUUUUUUUUCCCUCCGUGACAAUUAUCUAAUCCCAUCAUUACCCCCAAUGCAAGAACUGAUGGAAACAAUCCUCUUUGGAUGGACAGAACCCUGCUGAAAACAGCUUUCAGUUUCACAAUAGAGUUUUUCAAGUGCCUGUUGGGACAAUAGCCUGAAAGUUAACACUUGUGAUCUUUGGAGGAGCCAAGCUUUGCUGAGAAGAAAAGAAGCUUAUAAAAGCCAAGCCCAGGAGUUCCCUGGUAGCUCAGCAGAUUAAGAAUCUGGUAUUUUCACUGCUGUGUGGAUUUGACCCCUAGCCCAGUAACUUCCAAAUAUUGCACGCACAGCCAAAAAAAAAGCCAGGCCCGGAAGACUAAUGAGUUUUUGCAAUAAGUGAGAGUGUAAAUAGGACAAGGAUUUGGCAUAAGGAAAGUCCCUGCAAUGUAAGAAAGUCCUUUUGGGUGCCAGGAGGAAGAGUCCAAGAGAAAGAAAGUGAAGGGCAAAAGGUUAAUAAGGUGUCCUCACUUCCUUACUCCACACUCUCAAGGUAAACCUAAUGGGAAGGAAGCAUGGAAUAAAAGUGUUCAAAUAGACUUGCUGAAAUUGGAGACACAGCACGUGUAUGGAAUGGAAAGAGGAGAAUGGUGUGGAGCAGGGCACUGAGUUUUUGGCACCAUGUAAUAGAGAACUAUUUGCAUAUUUAAUUUUGUUGGCUAUGCUCGGGGCAUGAGGAAGUCCUCAGUCCAGGGAUUAAACCGGCACUACAGCAGUGACAACGCUGGAUCCCUAACUGCUAGGCCAACAGGACACCCUUGUGCAUAUUUAAUUUUUAAAAACUAAAAAAUUCAGGAGUUCCCGCUGUGGUACAACAGGAUUGGCAGCAUCUUGGGAGCCUGAGACACAGGUUCAGUUGCCGUGGCCCGGCACAGUGAGUUAAGGAUCCAGUGUUGCUGCAUUGACAGCUUAGGUUGAAACUUCAGCCUGGAUCUGAUACCAGGCCCAGGAACUCCACAUACUGUGGGGCAGCCAAAAAAAUUUUUUUAAUUAAAAUAAAUAAAUAAAUACUACAAGAAGGGAAAAUUACGUAUUUUGUACACGAGUAUGUAAAUUUUGUCCAUAUGGCCUCUAAAUUUUUAAAGAGAAAUAAGGAAAUUCUUAAGCCUUUAUUUAGAAUUAUUCCCUGUGCAAGCCCAUUCUCAUUCUUUAUACUUAAGACCAUGUCUUCAUCAACUGCCAGUUCUCUAAUACCAUUCACAGCUAUUUAAAUAACUACUGUCCUUUUCCACCAGUGUCUCUCUUAGACAAUAGUUGUUUUACUUGUGUGAGAUAACUUCUGGGAAUAGAUAUCAGCAUUGAAGGAAUUGCUUUAUAGAGUAAAAAAUAAAUAAUUUAGUGUGUGAUUAACAGAUUCACACUACUAUAUAUAAAACAGAGGGAGUCCCCAGAGGUUAAGGAUCAGGUUUUGUCACUGCAGUGGCUUGAGUUACUGCUAUGGUGCAGGUAGGAUCCUGGCCCAGGAACUUCCACAUGCAGCAGGCAUGCCCAAGAAAUAAAAAAAUUUUUUAAAUAAAACAGAUGAUCAACAAGGACCUACUGUAUAGCAUGGGGAACUCUAUGCAAUAUUCUGUAAUAACCUAUAUGGGAAAAGAAUCUGAAAAAGAAUGGAUAUACAUAUAUAUAUAACUGAAUCACUUUGCUGUAAACAGAAAUUAAUACAACUAAAGCAACUAUACUCCAAUGUAAAAUAAAAAUUAAUUUUUUUAAAAAGAAAAAGAAUUCUGGACAGCUGGAAAUUAUCUUAUGCGUGUCUGGACACUGAGGGCAUUCAUCUCCUACUUUUCACUAAAAUCCUUUAUCUGUUUAAGUAGUAUCCACAGUUGAAGAGGAGCUCCCUAACCCUCUCACCCUGAUUUCUGUUAUUUGCCUUUAGAGCUAUAUGAAGUGUCUUUAAUCUGUUCCCUCCAGCAUACUCUAGCUCUCUGUUUCAGAUUUAGGGACCAAUAAGUAAAUACUUACUGGUAUUUCCUCAUACUAAACACUCUUGAAUUUCCUUGUAAGAAAAGCAUGCCUAUACACAGAACAUACAUGAUUUCAUUUAUGCUUUUUUAUUUUAUUUUAUUUUAUUUUUUUGUUUUUUUGCCAUUUCUUGGGCCACUCCCGUGGCAUAUGGAGGUUCCCAGGCUAGGGGUCAAAUCGGAGCUGUAGCCACUGGCCUACACCAGAGCCACAGCAACGCAGGAUGCAAGCUGUGUCUGUGACCUACACCACAGCUCACGGCAACGCCGGACCCUUAACCCACUGAGCAAGGUCAGGGAUUGAACCCGCAACCUCAUGGUUCCUAGUCGGAUUCAUUAACCACUGAGCCACGACGG